UACGGGGGGGGCAAGCGUUGUUCGGAAUUACUGGGCGUAAAGGGCUCGUAGGCGGCCAACUAAGUCAGACGUGAAAUCCCUCAGCUUAACUGGGGAACUGCGUCUGAUACUGGAUGGCUUGGAUCCGGGAGAGGGAUGCGGAAUUCCAGGUGUAGCGGUGAAAUGCGUAGAUAUCGGAAGGAACAUCAGUGGCGAAAGCGACUUCCUGGACCAGUACCGACGUUCAGGCACGAAAGCGUGGGGAGCAAACAGG
rnacentral:rRNA from 1 species